rnacentral:rRNA from 1 species
AACGAACGCUGGCGGCAGGCCUAACACAUGCAAGUCGAGCGCCCCGCAAGGGGAGCGGCGGACGGGUGAGUAACGCGUGGGAACGUGCCCUCUUCUACGGAAUAGCCUCGGGAAACUGGGAGUAAUACCGUAUACGCCCUUAGGGGGAAAGAUUUAUCGGAGGAGGAUCGGCCCGCGUUGGAUUAGGUAGUUGGUGGGGUAAUGGCCUACCAAGCCGACGAUCCAUAGCUGGUUUGAGAGGAUGAUCAGCCACACUGGGACUGAGACACGGCCCAGACUCCUACGGGAGGCAGCAGUGGGGAAUCUUAGACAAUGGGCGCAAGCCUGAUCUAGCCAUGCCGCGUGAGCGAUGAAGGCCUUAGGGUUGUAAAGCUCUUUCAGGGGGAAGAUAAUGACUGUACCCCCAGAAGAAGCCCCGGCUAACUCCGUG